AUUGAACGCUAGCGGGAUGCUUUACACAUGCAAGUCGAACGAGUGGCGGACGGGUGAGUAAUAUAUCGGAACGUGCUCAGUAGUGGGGGAUAACUACUCGAAAGAGUGGAUAAUACUGCAUACUAUGGGAGCGGCGGAUAUCGGAUUAGCUAGUUGGUGGGGUAAAGGCUCACCAAGGCAACGAUCCGUAGCUGGUUUGAGAGGACGACCAGCCACACUACAGCGGAGACACGGCACGGACUCCUACGGGAGGCAGCAGUGGAGAAAUGUGGACAAUGGGGGAAACCCUGGUCCAGCCAUCCCGCGUAUAGGAGAGAGCCUUCGGGUUGUAAAGUACUUUUGGCAUAGAAGCUGUAUCUGCAGAAUAAGCACCGGCUAACUACGUGCCAGCAGCCGCGGUAAUAC
rnacentral:rRNA from 1 species